AAAAUUACAUUUUUUGCUUGUUAUAAACUAAGAUUGGGCUCGGGUUACUCAAUGGGGCUAUAAUGCACAUGGGCCAAACCACACUAAAAGAUUGAAUCCAACCAAUUAGCUAGUCUAACCCAUAGCCUUAUAAACCCCAUAUUUCCUCUCUUAUUUUAUCAAUGUGGGACUCUUAACAAAGCUCAAAAAUCAUUUCCAAUCUCUUCAAUGUAACCAAUUGAAAGGGGAAAUGUGAGGGGAAAAAAAUCAGCUUGCAACACUGUAACAGUAUCUAAUAGC